UCUUCUUCUUCAGAGGGUUUUUUUUUUUUAAUUAUGUUUACGUUUUCAGUAAGUUUGUCUUUUAGACUUUUUGGAGGUGGAGUCCAGUCAUCUUAAACUAAUCAUGUUUUAAAAAAAUCUAAGUGUCUCUGCUUUUCCACAAUUCCCCAUUGCCCUUUUUGAAAACUAUAUUUUUGAUUGUGAUAACAAAAAAAUGUAACAUAAAAUUUGCCAUCUUACCAUUUUUAAGCACAUAGUUGAGUAGCAUUAAGCAUUUCUGUGACAUUGUUGUGCAACAGAUCCCCAGAACUUGUGCAUCUUGCAAAACUGAAACUCUGCCCUCAUUAAACAACCCCUCCCCAUCCCUUCAGCCCAUGGUAGCCACCACUCUGCUCCUGUCUUCAUGAAUUGGACUGCUCUAGGAACCCCAUGUCUUACUUCCUGGAAAUGAAACAUGUUGCCUAGAGGUGGAGCACCCAUUCAGUGAGCCUGUGAGGAAGGCCAUUUACCAAGAACAGGAGAAAGCUAGAAGGAGCCCAUAUCUCUGACUGCCCUCGCCAGCCCACACAAGAACUCACGCUGGAAAAAGAAAGCCCUGUUUCGGCCUGCUUUUCCUGGAACCAGGAGGACUCCCACCCAGGUCCACUCAAGUUGUGACACUGCUUGGCUUACUGAUCCAGAUAAGUGAGGCCAUAGGAGAGCAGACGCUGGAUAAUGGAGGCCGAGCGAGGCAUUUCCAGACUGUCAGGAAAAUGGAGACGCUGUCGCUUCCAGGAAAUACAGGCACAUAAGGCAAUGUACAGCUGGAACAUCUGGCCUUAUAAAACUAAAAAUAACACCCCAUAAAAUACAUUUUAUUCAUUUAUUUUGACAACGGGAACACACUUUCCAUUACUCAUGACUCUGUAAGUCUCCCUGGUGCAACAGUCCUGCCAUUACAUGCUGUGGGAUCAACACCGCCUUGGUCACAUAGAUUUGCCACUCUCCCGUCCUCCUGGUUUCCCAAAGGUCAGGAACUCUGACUCUGCUCACGGUACAGCUUCGGCUUAAAAGGCCCUUCCCCCUCCUUUGUUCAUUGCAAUCCCCUUUCUUCUUUGAGACUCCCUCCCUGAGGCGACUCUCAGGCUACUUCAUCUGCUCUUAAGCAGGAAGUUGCCGCCAUCUUGUUUGCCACUUUCUAACCUUUUUCCUUGAUCAUUUAUUCGGUUGAGUCAAGGCCCCAUAUUCACAGAAAACAUUCGCACUGGGUGUUUGUCUCCCGCUUUGCUCCAAGACUCACCCUUAUUCUGGAUGAUUUGGAUGUCCCUUGUCCUUGACCAGAUGGCCAUUGUUCUUUAAGCUUCUCAACCGAUUGGCACAUUCUUUCACUUUACUUAGGGCAUUUGUUAUCAAGGCCCCUAUUUUGGACAUGUCCCUGUAAUUUAUCUACUUCUAAAAUCUUAAAUUCCUCUCCCCUGGGAGCUCUCUGACAACAAUCUCCCAUCAUCCCAGCUCUUUCUUUCUCUGAUCCCUUUCCUUCUGUUCAAGACUCAGAAAAAAUCUCCAAGAAGUUGUUCCUUUGGUCAUCUUGCAAUAGAUCUGCUCCCCUCUCUCUCACCUUCACUAUUCUGAUAAUAUUCAGCCCAGAUCUGGGCUGCCACAACAUUCAUAUUCUCAUGCAGAUCCUCAAGUCAUUAUCUUCCUUGUCUUUGUCCUUCUAUUUCUCCCUUCCCGGAAAGCCCAGUGACAGUUCUUCCUGCUCUACAUAGCAUUGUGAAGCUUUCAGUUUCAACCCGUAUUUCAGAGCUGCCUGGCCAUCCCUCUGUGUGGUCCUUGGUAGCCUUUUCUCAUAUUCUGCGGAAAUCUAGGACAGCUUUCUCAAACUUACUUUUUCCCAAACUCUGAUUUCAUCUCCUUUUGCCCCUCCAGUUUGGAAAGGCCAUGCUGAUAUUAACAAAAAGGGGCCCUCGGAGCCUCAGAACGCUCUCAACUUUCUUCCUGCUUCUACACAUACCUGCAUGAACACACAACCUUGCCUCCUUGCUUCCUUCUCUCCAGUCAUGAAAUAAUAGGUUGACUCCUGAAGGAAUUACCCUCCACACCUGUUCUGGAUCUCAUUCCUUUCCUCUCUCUAGGGAUCUGUACUCAUCAGUCAUACUCACUCCAUUCUCAGUCCACAAUCAUAACUACUGAGUCUUUUUAUUCAGUAUUUGAAUAUUCUCAAGACUCUUCUAUCUUUAAAAUAGUCUGAAUUCUUACUUCACCUGUCAAUGGAUAGACUUGGACCUUUAUAUCUUCUUCACAUCUUUAUAUUCCAGUGCUUAACAUUCACACAUUCACCCUUUUUUCUGUUCGUCCACUUAGCCACCUCUCCAUUCAAACGAAUAAGUUUUGAAUAUCUCUACUAUGCCUGGAAACAACUGGAAACUUGUUUAUACAAUAAGGUUCAUCACAGCAUUAUUUAUUAUAAUAAAAUUAAGCAAACUGCCAGAA